CGGGAGCCCGGGCGGCCGGCUUGAACUCCGUGCACGCGGGCCUGGAGCUGCGCCCCUGCGUCUUUUCCCGACUUCUGAUCCGCAGAGGGACACUCGGAGCCCCAGCCUGGGUCGCAGUGCCUUCGGUGGCGCCUGGACUCUCGCCCUCAGAGGGAGGCCCGUCCCACGGUCUCUGGCUACGGAUCCCAGGACCCUCUUCGCGGGCGAUUCGCGUAGCCUCAGUCAGGGCCGGGACCUGAAGCUGUGCCUGUGGGACCUCGCGGAGGGCAGGAGCGCUGUCGUAGACUCCGUGUGCUUGGAGAGUGUGGGCUUCUGCCGGAGCAGCAUCCUGGCCGGGGGCCAGCCACGCUGGACGCUUGCCGUGCCAGGGAAGGGCAGUGACGAGGUUCAGAUUCUGGAGAUGCCAUCCAAGACGUCAGUGUGCGCCCUGAAGCCGAAGGCAGAUGCCAAGCUGGGCAUGCCCAUGUGCCUGCGGCUGUGGCAGGCCGACUGCAGCUCCCGCCCACUCCUUCUGGCCGGCUAUGAGGAUGGAUCGGUGGUCCUGUGGGACGUCUCUGAGCAGAAGGUGUGCAGCCGCAUCGCCUGCCAUGAGGAGCCCGUCAUGGACCUUGACUUUGACUCCCAGAAGGCCAGGGGCAUCUCAGGCUCCGCGGGGAAGGCGCUGGCUGUCUGGAGCCUGGACGGGCAGCAGGCCCUGCAGGUGCGUGGGACUCAUGAACUCACCAAUCCCGGGAUCGCCGAGGUCACGAUCCGGCCAGACCGCAAGAUCCUGGCCACCGCAGGCUGGGACCACCGCAUCCGCGUGUUCCACUGGCGGACGAUGCAGCCGCUGGCCGUGCUGGCCUUCCACAGUGCCGCUGUCCAGUGCGUGGCCUUCACCGCCGAUGGCUUGCUGGCCGCGGGCUCCAAGGAUCAGCGGAUCAGCCUCUGGUCACUCUACCCACGCGCAUGACUCACCCACUCCCUUCCCGGGAGACGAGGAGGGCGGGCAGGGAGGUGGGCAUCAGGCCCCAGCCUCGGCCUGAAACCUCAAGGGCCUCUGAGGACCAGCAAGUCAUGGCCCAAGGACCAUGGAGUCCCCGCUGUCUUCACGAGGUUGGUAUUUCCUUUUGUGGAGUGCCUCAUCACAGGACGGUGACUCUGGGGGCCAGCCAGAGCCCUGGCCGUCCGAGGCCCGCAGGAGACGUUGGCUUGGGC
rnacentral:sRNA from 1 species